AAAUCGUGCUUUGCGGCACGAGUUGUAGAUUGCAGGUUGGAGUCUGUGUGGAAGGCGGUGUCCAAGUCCCUUGGAACAGGGCGCCCAGGAGGGUGAGAGCCCCGUGGGAUGCCGGCGGAAGCAGUGAGGCCCUUCUGACGAGUCGAGUUGUUUGGGAAUGCAGCUCCAAGCGGGUGGUAAAUUCCAUCUAAGGCUAAAUACUGGCGAGAGACCGAUAGCGAACAAGUACUGUGAAGGAAAGAUGAAAAGCACUUUGAAAAGAGAGUGAAACAGCACGUGAAAUUGUUGAAAGGGAAGGGUAUUGCGCCCGACAUGGGGAUUGCGCACCGCUGCCUCUCGUGGGCGGCGCUCUGGGCUUUCCCUGGGCCAGCAUCGGUUCUUGCUGCAGGAGAAGGGGUUCUGGAACGUGGCUCUUCGGAGUGUUAUAGCCAGGGCCAGAUGCUGCGUGCGGGGACCGAGGACUGCGGCCGUGUAGGUCACGGAUGCUGGCAGAACGGCGCAACACCGC
rnacentral:rRNA from 1 species